GAUGAAGAACGCAGCGAAAUGCGAUAAGUAAUGUGAAUUGCAGAAUUCAGUGAAUCAUCGAAUCUUUGAACGCACAUUGCGCCCCCUGGUAUUCCGGGGGGCAUGCCUGUCCGAGCGUCAUUACAACCCUCAAGCUCAGCUUGGUGUUGGGCCCCGCCGCCCCGGCGGGCCCUAAAGUCAGUGGCGGUGCCGUCCGGCUCCGAGCGUAGUAAUUCUUCUCGCUCUGGAGGUCCGGUCGUGUGCUCGCCAGCAACCCCCAAUUUUUCUAUGGUUGACCUCGGAUCAGGUAGGGAUACCCGCUGAACUUAAGCAUAUCAAUAAGCGGAGGA
rnacentral:misc_RNA from 1 species